UACGUAGGGGGCAAGCGUUGUCCGGAAUCAUUGGGCGUAAAGCGCGCGUAGGCGGCCCGGUAAGUCCGCUGUGAAAGUCCAGGGCUCAACCCUGGGAUGCCGGUGGAUACUGUCGGGCUCGAGUCCGGAAGAGGCGAGUGGAAUUCCUGGUGUAGCGGUGAAAUGCGCAGAUAUCAGGAGGAACACCAAUGCGAAGGCAGCUCGCUGGGACGUGACUGACGCUGAGACGCGAAAGCGUGGGGAGCAAACAGG
rnacentral:rRNA from 1 species